AGAGAACCCAUCAUUUCUGUUUUUGAUUCCCUUGAAGAACAAAAUAGUAGCUUUCUAACAGGUGAUGCAAGGCCUGGCGUAAAAGAGCUGCUACAAAAGCACUUUCUACUCCAUUGUCUGUGACGGGCAAACUCAGUUCUGUCUUCUGAGACCAAAUGCAGGGAAUAACAGAAAACAAGGAUUGUUUUGAGCUGUACCAUCCAUACGCCAUAGAGAUUUACUGCAUUAACACUACAACCCUUUAGUCAAUCUGAAAUGGAAUGGAAGUUUUCUAUGAGAUGGACGA